AUUGAACGCUGGCGGCAUGCCUUACACAUGCAAGUCGAACGGCAGCACGGGAGCAAUCCUGGUGGCGAGUGGCGAACGGGUGAGUAAAGUAUCGGAACGUGCCCAGUCGUGGGGGAUAACGUAGCGAAAGUUACGCUAAUACCGCAUACGAUCUAUGGAUGAAAGCGGGGGAUCGCAAGACCUCGCGCGAUUGGAGCGGCCGAUAUCUGAUUAGGUAGUUGGUGGGGUAAAGGCUCACCAAGACGACGAUCUGUAGCUGGUCUGGGAGGACGACCAGCCACACUGGGACUGAGACACGGUCCAGACUCCUACGGGAGGCAGCAGUGGGGAAUUUUGGACAAUGGGCGCAAGCCUGAUCCAGCCAUGCCGCGUGCAGGAUGAAGGCCUUCGGGUUGUAAACUGCUUUUGUACGGAACGAAAAGGUUUGACUUAAUACGUUGGACUCAUGACGGUACCGUAAGAAUAAGCACCGGCUAACUACGUGCCAGCAGCCGCGGUAACAC
rnacentral:rRNA from 1 species